UUAAGGUGGUCAGGAGCAAAUGCGAGGAAAGGAGGAGGAGGCACAUGCUUGAUUUUGAAUGAUAAGAUGCCUCCUGUAAUUCAAGCUGCUCAUUUAAGGCAUUGUGCACUUGUCAGGUCCUGCCUGUAUCUGUAAUACUCACUUGUGUAUGGGAACUGUUGAAUCAUAGCCUGAACCUCCGAUCACCUGAGGCAAGAAAUGAGUCAGCUGUGGGAGCACAGGUGAAGGUCAGGUGUGUGACCAAAAGGUGUGGAGCCUGACUGCACCUCUCUUAGACCCCAUUAAAGGGCUGACUGCUGCUGAGGAAGGAUCUCUCUGGAGAUUGCUCCUCUUGGAGUUUUUCCUGCAAGCCCAGGACAUGGCAGGGGUAAGGAUGCCAGGAAUGAUGGAAGCUGAGCCAGCGGGUCUCACUGCCCACACUGACAGCAGCACCAUAAUAGGCUGAUAUUAACAGGGAUGAGCAACCCUCUUUCAUACGGAUGAACAUAGUCUCCAUUUUAAUCCUUAAAAGGGUUGAGAAUAAAGACAAAACACGUCUGCAAUGACUGGAAGAGUGUAUUUUUCAGAGAGAUAUCUUGCGUGAAUGAACCUCUAUUGUUACCAAGAACAGAAAACUUGAAAUCAUCCAGAACUCCUUCUGUUCACCGCAACUGAAACAACUGCAGACAGCAAUGCUGAACUGUCAAACCAUAUUACAGAAAAAAGCAAAGAAGAUACCUCUCUUUGGUAAGCAGAGGUUCUGUCUGGCCUGGCGCUGGCCCGUUCACUGAGGACACGCUCUGUAUUUAGAAGAGAGGUUAAGCUAGAGGGGACCAUUUGUGUUUCAUGGUGAUCUAUCCAGGGCUGUUUCUGGAGGUGUGAGCUGAGGCCUCCCUGCUGCAGCCCUGACCACAGGUGACAGCUGAGGGCAAAGACACUUUCCAGAGUGCAGGUUUUUAUGUGUUUGGACAAAUCAAAGUUAGUAACUACCAACCGUGACAAUUGUCAGCAUUUGUGCCUUCCUUGACAGUGAUGUGAAAAUCAAACAAACCAGUGCCUGUGAGUUCUUCUCUGAUAUGUUUGUAUUAAGCAAGUUUAAAACAACAACAACAACAACAAACAAAACAGUGUUAUUUGCCAUUGGGGUUAAUGAGCCCUACACUGGGGUUUGUGUCCUCACCCAGCUAUCAUGCACUGCUCCAGCCAAGUGCCACAGCAAUCUCUUAGCUGAUGCUGUGCCUCUUCUGGCCAUGGGCACCAUCUCUGCUGUGGCUGAAGAUGAGAACACAGCUCAAAGUUCUGCAAAGUGUCAAAGUUGUACUGAGUCCAGAGCAAGGAGAGCAGAGGCAGAUACACAGCAUGUCUGCAGUCAUGGGAGCAGGAUAAGGCAGUUUCUGUAAGCUUCUGGAGGAAAUCUGAACCUUGGAAAAAGAUUGUCUAGCCUUAAAAGUCCGAUUGCUCUCUCUGAGAUCCUAUGUUCAUCAUCAUAGAAUGAGUAGGAGAGUAGUACAUGUGUUUUUUUCAGCUUUUUAGCUCUUCUCACAGUGACAAGAAACACUCACAGACAUAACUCAUUAUAAAGUCUAAUAGAGGUUAUGUUUAAUUAAUCUCCGAAUAAAUCCCAAUGAAAAAUAACUUGAUAACUUGAUCUGUCCCUCUAAGCAAUACAGAAUGUUAGAAAAUGAAUCUAUAUUUCACAUGGUUUUUUAUUCACCCAUUUUGGCAGGGUGACUGGGAGAGCCUUGAGUGAAAAAGACAGAUAGUGUUUUCUUUUCCCCAGCCAUUGAGGUGUUGCAGAAAUAUUCCUGUCCAUUGUGGCAGCAAAAUGAGAAGAGUUUCUCUAAAAAUUUCUUUACCCACAAGUCUGGCAUGAUAUGGAACAUUAGGGUUUCAUAGUAUGUUACAUCUUUCUAUGACAUUACAAACUGGAAUGCUCACAUAAUCAUACCAAGUAUUGAACAUUUCUUUCCUAUUGAGAUACAAAUCCGAGAAUUAGUCUCAAGAAUACUUAGUUACAGCUUUUCUAGGAGUGAUUGCAUUCCCUCAUUUCCAAAACAUCCAAUGGAGAGACUACCAGUAUAUUUCCUUUUGAACUUUAAUGGGAAGACCCCCAUGUUGCUUUGCAGUAGUUGGGAUGCACAGGUUCAGUUUCCAUAUCAGGCACAAGCUUGUAACACCACUCACAAACAUCCAUGUUGCUUUUUGGGAGUCACAGCUGCUGAUGUUCCCCAUUAGGUCAGGAAAUGUGUGGGAUUUGCAAGUCUCUGCAAGGUAAGUGCUGUUCUGGCCAGUGUCCAGGGCUAUGACAUCACUGGAGGAGCUGCAACACAGUGCAGCACUGACAUGGCACUGACAAUCCUGUCUCUGAAGUCCCCUUUUCUUAGUUGCUCAUGGCCUCCUCUUCACACCUGGCAGGGAAAAGUCCUGCUGGUGCUAAGAAGCCCGGAGUUAGGAAUCAGAGUGAAAAUGAUAUUCGGAAAGGGCUUUGGAAUAUAGAUAGCAGAAAAUAUACAGUCACUUCUCCUGGGAGGUCAAAAUACAGGUGCAUCUGAAAACACACAUCUUCUUCCUCCAGAAUACAGCCUUCUGUUCUGGUUGCCUAUCAGAAAGAGUCCAUGCAAACACAGCAUGGCCUCAACACAGGUAAUAACAUUUUGGAGAAUGACAAGAUUUCCAUUUCACAACAGAUGGAGAAGGUGAAGCCGGCAUAUUUUACAGAGAAGACAAGUUACAGUGCAUCAUAUGGUUUACACAAUGCUGAGUAGUAAAGUAUAUUUUGGGCCUGUGCAAGCAUUCUGCAUGCAGGA